rnacentral:RNase_P_RNA from 1 species
CGGGGGCGCAGGCAGCCGCGCUGCCCGCCCCGUCUGGGCAUGCGGCAGUGGAGGAAAGUCCGAACUCCAUAGGGCAGGGCGGUGGAUAACGUCCACCGGGAGCAAUCCCAGGGAAAGUGCCACAGAAAACAUACCGCCCCGGCCGAUGGCCGGAGCAAGGGUGAAAAGGUGGGGUCGCCGCAAGGCGACUUAAUGUAAGAGCCCACCGCCUCGGCGGUGACGUCGAGGGCAGGGCAAACCCCGCCCGGAGCAAGGCCGAAUAGGGGAGGAUGAGGUCGCCCGCCUCGCCACAACUCCCGGGUUGGCCGCUUGAGCGCGCCGGCAACGGCGUGGCCAGAUGAAUGGCUGCCGCCCCCGCGUGCGAACGCGUGGGGUCACAGGAUUCGGCUUACGCGCCCCCGUACG